CUCAUAUUUCGGCCUCAUUUUGAACACAGCUCUUGUAUUGGACCUCUUUAGAUAAGCGAGUGUAUAUUCUCAGCUGAGCGCCACAUGUGCUCGUCACCGCAUUGCGAAUUACUAGAGCAGAAAUGCGUGGACUUCCUCGGGUUACACGGCAUGAAUUCAUCCCGCACUGCUGAUCUGCGAUGAAAGGAAAGUAGGCGGUGGAGGCCUCCUCCUCGGUCCACUUGCCGGCCACGCGGGCGCUGCGCAGGAACUGGCGGUCCGAGAAGCGGGCGGAGAAGAGAUGCAGCGUAAUUAAGAGCAAGAAGAAGAGGCAGAGAAGGUCCCCAACUACUCUCCAGUGACAGCCUAUUUCCCCACAGAGCUGAGAGAAUAGAUUUAUGAAUAGUCUUCUAUGCUCUGUUUGCAUGUGC